rnacentral:tRNA from 3 species
GGAGGGGUGGUCGAGUGGUUGAUGGCUCCAGUCUUGAAAACUGGCGAGGCGCAAGCCUCCGUGGGUUCGAAUCCCACCCCCUCCGCCA